GGCCAAGCCAGAAGACCCUUCCCUGCUGGAGGAUCCCAAGAUUAAGGAGAUUGCUGCAAAGCACAAAAAAACCGCAGCCCAGGUUCUGAUCCGUUUCCAUAUCCAGAGGAAUGUGAUUGUCAUCCCCAAGUCUGUGACACCAGCACGCAUUGUUGAGAACAUUCAGGUCUUUGACUUUAAAUUGAGUGAUGAGGAGAUGGCAACCAUACUCAGCUUCAACAGAAACUGGAGGGCCUGUAACGUGUUGCAGUAAGUGGCAUGGAGUUAACUAGAAGCAUUGCCAGGAGUUUUUCUAAACUAAUAGACGAUCCUCUCAUUUGGAAGACUAUCCCUUCGAUGCAGAAUAUUGAGGUUGAAUCUCCUGGUGAGAUUACACAGGGGAUUCUCUUUCUUCGCUGAAGUGUGACUACCUCCACUCAUGUCCCAUUUUAGCCAAGCUUAUUUAAGAUCACAGUGAACUUAGUCCUGUUGUAGACGAGAAUCGAGGUGCUGUUUUAGACAUUUAUUUCUGUAUGUUCAACUAGGAUCAGAAUAUCACAGAGAAGCAUGGCCUGAAUAAGCAAAUGACAAUUUUUUCCACUUAUCUGAUCAGAACAAAUGUUUAUUAAGCAUCAGAAACUCUGCCAACACCGAGGAUGUAAAGAUCAAUAAUAAAAAAUAAUAAUCAUAA
rnacentral:sRNA from 1 species